GUUGAAUAUCACGAGAAGGAUUUAUAUCCUCUCCAACCUGCCAACUCCGGCAAGGUGGAAAAAUGAUAUGGCGUUCAGCAAACAUAGGAGGAAAA
ncrna:unclassified sequences SAM-I/IV variant riboswitch